GACCUCGGAUCAGGUAGGGAUACCCGCUGAACUUAAGCAUAUCAAUAAGCGGAGGAAAAGAAACCAACCAGG
rnacentral:rRNA from 1 species